CAGUAGCCACGGGAAUACGUAGGGUGCGAGCGUUAAUCGGAAUUACUGGGCGUAAAGCGUGCGCAGGCGGUUGUGUAAGACAGGUGUGAAGUCCCCGGGCUUAACCUGGGAACUGCGCUUGUGACUGCACAGCUAGAGUAUGGCAGAGGGGGGUGGAAUUCCACGUGUAGCAGUGAAAUGCGUAGAGAUGUGGAGGAACACCGAUGGCGAAGGCAGCCCCCUGGGCCAAUACUGACGCUCAUGCACGAAAGCGUGGGGAGCGAACAGGAUUAGAUACCCGCGUAGUCCCUGUCUCUUAUAC
rnacentral:rRNA from 1 species